UUGAAUCAUUUACCUCUACCUGGGUCUUGGUCAUUUGGAAAAUCUUGAUUCACAAAGUUAUGUCCAUUUUCCAACUGUUGGCACAUUUCAUAGAGAAUGUCAACUCUCAUUAAAAUCACCAAUGUUAAACUCAGAAAAGACCUCUAAGCUUUCUAGAGCUGCCAAGCUCACACUGGCAGAUGUGUUUUUCCACAUCUCAUGUUUGCUUGAGACCUCCAAGUUCAUCAUUAGCCACAUUGCUGUCAGCAGUUUCCUUGAAGGGACAGGCUCACUCUGUUCAUUUUUCUAGAAAAUGCCUUCCAAAUUUCUAAGUCUGAGCACUGGUAGUGUGUCAUUUGUCCACUAAAAUAAAAAUAUUGGCCUGAGGAAGGUGGCUCCUUUAGAUCAGAAAGCAGACAAUUGAAGGAGUGGUUUCCUUAAGACAGCUGUCAUGUUGUACAGUACCUGGAAGUGGUGAUAUGGACUAUUUCCUUUAGUGUGUUUUUAGUUGUAACUGACUUGUAUGGGCUUUGCUAUUAUGUGGUAUUGAAAACCUUAUUGAACAGAGUUCUGCUUGAUUCAAAUAUGACAAAGAAUGAUUCAGAAUCUUAACUAUGAGAUUUCAGAGAGUCUGUUCUCUAGUCUAAUGAACCUACAUACUUUUCUUUUUUCAUUGAAAAAAAAGAGAUCACUAUUGUCAAACUCAAACUCAUGGACUCUCAUUAGAGGAUAUAUUAUCAGGAGAUUUUGUCAUACUAAACAAAAUUAUUCAAUGAUUUUUUUUUACAGGAUUGUAAAAUGGGUUUGAAGACUAUCAUCAUAGAUAAAAGUUUGUUUGUUUGUUUGUUUGUUUGUUUGGGGGGAAGAUACUUGGCUGAACAGAGAAUGUAGCAUAGGAAAGGGGGAUUUAUAGUCAAGGAUGGAUGAAAGUAUCAACUGAUGGAAAGUGGGAGGAAACACGAGAGCUGAUGUGCAUUCUGUUUCAAUUGCCCUAACAAGAUCAUUACUGAUGUAUGCUAGCUAUGCCAGCAUCAUCAGGCCUAGGAGAAGCUGGUGAAUGAAAAAUGACUAACAUGGGGGUAUUGAGUGUGGGCAAAUGCUCAGGGAGGGGCUUCUUCUAAACUGACUCAGCAGGGUUCUUGUUAAAAUUAGUGUUCAGCUAUGUCUAGAAGCUUUAUGAAUAAGCAAUCUCGGUCAGUUAUGAAACCAUUAGAAAACAUUUGUAUGUCUUAGAAAUCAGUGCCAUACUUAGGUUACCCAUGAAUUCUUGGGUAUGUAAAAACAAUCGCAUUUGGUACAUGCCCAAAUAAAAAAAUAAUUAAUUUGCUAUCUGAUUCAAAACAUAAUAGCCAUAAAUCUUGCAAACAUUAUUUGACAUUGUUUGGAAGUCCUGUCUUGUCAUAUGACCUAUGCCUUAGAUCCACAUGAAAUUGUGACUACUUUAAACACCAGUGUGCUUGUGCCCAUAUAUACUUGUUAAAAAUAAUAUUUUGUGCAUGUGUGUUUAUAGGUUUCUUAUAAAUAAUAAAGAUACUCAAAAUAGAAAUGCCAGGUAGAAUGAGCAUCAGGUGACUGUACAAUAAGUAGUGUAGAUAUACAGACAAGAUGGAGGACUAUUCCACCUCCGCUACUGUUACCGCACUCUUCUAGACUUUGAAAGAGGAGGAUUAAAACCCCUGCUAUCUACAGACUUGUAUUCUACAAAACAGGAAAGCAAUAAUGUGCAGGUAUAUGUGUUUGGUGCAGGAGUUACAAGAAGAAAACAGAGAAGCUGUCUGAGACUAGGGAAGGAUAAAGAUGGGGGGUGUAAGUUCAUUGGGUGGUAGGCAAAAACUUGGAGACAAAUCCUAGCAAUGUUGCAAGAGCUCUUUGGGCAGAGGAGUCUGAGUGCAAAGUCUAUGGGUAAAUUUCUUUGGUUCAUUUAAGGGGCAGCAGAAACUCAAGUAUGACAGCUGAUGAGAGCUACAGCUUGAAGGUAUCCAUCCUGCCAUAUCACGUUCAAAUAUCAGAGCUUAAUUCUGUGUGAUUCUAUUGAGCCUUUAGUGGGUUAUCACAUCAUAAGAGUUCAAAAUCCAUCAAUAAAAUUAAAUACUUAUUCAUUAAAAUAUGUGAAGACACAUGCUCUUAGCCCCCCUCCUACUUUGUGUUCACUUGCCAUGUGAGAGUGUAGCAUUUGUCCUCUUUAAAGGACACUGUCACAGUCUACCUUCUUGGAAUCAAAGAGCAUCCCUCAUUAGAACAGUCUCAGACAGUACCUUUAACUUUGUUCUCCACAACAUUUCAAUUAUUUGUGUGUUAUUCAGCAUGUACAAGAGUCUUAUAUUAACAUUGGAAAUAAUCAAAUGUGCUGAGUCAGGACACUCAGACUAAUGAGAGAGAUUGAAGAAACAGAAAUGCUAAAAUAUUAAAUUUUAAUGUAGAUGGGACAUGAAGGAAUGAUCCUAUGCUGAUAUUGGAGCAUAGAGACACCUGAUUUUUAUUUUUGAAGGCUAGCACUAGUCACAGGGAGAAUUCCAGAAACAAACAUUGUGAUUACGAUGCUUCUCUGGAGGCUAUAUCAUCUGC
rnacentral:lncRNA from 1 species